rnacentral:rRNA from 1 species
AAAGGUAGCAUAAUUAAUUGCCUUUUAAUUGGGGGCUUGUUUGAAUGGUUUGACGUGAGAGAUGCGAAUAUUUAGUAUUAAUUUGAAUUUGGUGUUAGGGAUACAGAAUUCCUAAAUGUUUAAUAAGACGGAAAGACCCUGGGAUCUUUUUUUUUCGCUUGGGGCAAGUUUCAUUAUUUCAAUGAAAUUAGGAUCUUAAGUAUAGAUUAUUGGGUUAAGUUACCCCAGGGAUAACAGUGUGAUAAUUAAUAAGAGAUCUUAUCGAAUUAAUUGUUUGCCACCUCGAUGUUGACUUAGGUUAGAAUUUAGGUGUAGUAGCUUAGAUUUAUGGUCUGUUCGACCGUAUUGACCUUCAUGAGUUGAGUUAAGACCGGUGUGAGC